GUGCUCGCUUUGGCAGCACGUAUACUAAAAUUGGACCGAUACAGAGAAGAUUAGCACGGCCCCUGUGCAAGGAUGACAUGCAAAUUCGUGAAGCAGUCCAUAUUUAA